AUGAGGAUGUGGACAGCUUGGUGUGUGGCCAUGUACUUCUUUGGAGCAAGAGCUAAAAUCACACAAAUCUCAAGUCUUGUGCUGAGAGAAGAUGAGAAAGCUACUCUGACAUGCAGUCAAAAUGAUAAUCACAAUUCUAUGUACUGGUAUCUGCAGCAGCCAGGGAAGGGGCUGCAACUGGUCUAUUAUUCCUUUGGUGCAAAUCAAGAAAAAGAAGGGGACAUUCACAUUGGAUACAAAGCUAAACGGUUAAGCCUCUCAGACUUCUAUCUGGAUAUCUUAUCUGUGAAGAAGAACCAUUCAGCUGUCUAUUUCUGUGCAAGUAGUUUAGACACAACACUUCAAAGACACUUGCUUUCUUUACAUAAACUUCUUUCCUUUCCAGCACCUUCCCUCAGAAGGGAGCUGCUCUCAGCACAGGAAAGUGGCACGUUGGCCAAUAACCUGUUUACAAACCAGACGCUGCUGAGGAGUUGGAGCAAGAGAGGCAGGUCUUUGCAGUGCAGGUUAAUUGCUGAACCCCUCUUUUCUGAUCAGCCAUUUAGCCUCUAUCUCAUCAGAACAAUCAAUAAGAAUUGUAAACCACAUGUAAACAUAUGA